UCUCACUGAACCUAGAGCUCAUCGACUGGC
rnacentral:piRNA from 1 species